GGCCCUGUGGCAUAUCGUUGGAUGUAUGUUUUUGAGAGGGCAAUGCACUAUCUUCGUUUAAAAGUGCGAAACAAGGCAAGAGUGGAGGGUUCAAUCGUUGAAGCUUGUAUUGUGCACGAGAUCACGAAUUGUGUUUCUCUUUACUUUAGUGAUCACGUUCGCACUAUAUGGAAGAAGAAUCCUCGAUAUAAUAAUGGAGGAACACGCGUGCAAAAUGAUGGUUGCACCUUAGAUGUGUUUCAGCAUGUAGGAAACCUACAUGGGAGGCCUAUUGCCCGAGAACUAUCGCGUGACGAGUUGAAUGCAGCAAGGCUGUACAUUUUGACUAACUCUGUUGUUGAUAGAUUUCGUGAGUAAGUGAUGAAUAAUUUGUAAUUUUAGAAUUGAAGUGUGCAAGAUGUUUAUAAUCAUACGCGGAUUUGCAGAACAUUUGAAGAUGAAAAGUAUGCAAGUCAUCCAAACUUGACAUCGGAGGGCCUUGAUGAAAUGAUGGCAUCCGAAUUUGUGGAAUGGUUCGAGAUUGCUUGCAAAGAAGAUCCCAAUUCUGAUGAGGACUU